AUACGUAGGGAGCGAGCGUUGUCCGGAAUUACUGGGCGUAAAGGGUGCGUAGGCGGCAUGGCAAGUCAGAUGUGAAAUCCCCGGGCUUAACUCGGGAGUUGCAUUUGAAACUGCUGUGCUUGAGUGCAGGAGAGGAAAGCGGAAUUCCUAGUGUAGCGGUGAAAUGCGUAGAUAUUAGGAGGAACACCAGUGGCGAAGGCGGCUUUCUGGACUGUAACUGACGCUGAGGCACGAAAGCGUGGGGAGCAAACAGGAUUAGAUACCCUGGUAGUCCACGCCGUAAACGAUGGAUACUAGGUGUGGGGGAGAUACAACCUCCGUGCCGCAGCAAACGCAAUAAGUAUCCCGCCUGGGGAGUACGGUCGCAAGGCUGAA
rnacentral:rRNA from 1 species